rnacentral:lncRNA from 1 species
GGGGAGGGACGAAGCUUUGGUUUUUUGUUUGUUUGUUUUUGUUUUUACUUUUCUUUAUUAUUUUAAUAUUUAAAAAAUAUUAAAUAAUUUUUUUAGUUUUUAAUAAUAUUUUAUUAAUUUUUUAAUAGAAAGUGGGUCCCGAAUCAAGCCACGUCAGCAUUUAACUGACAAAUUAACGGUCAGGCUAACGGAAGGUAUGACAUUGGAACAAAUGCGUAAAAUGAGGUAUGACAUUGUCAAUUUUAAAAGAUGAGGUAUGAAAGUGUUGUGAUACCAAUAGUUGAGGUAGUUUUUUGUACUUUACCCUAUUUUUUUUUCGUUUUCAAUUUUUUUUGUUCUUUUCUCUUCUUCUUCUUCUUGGGCCGAAAUUGGGUUCGAUUUUUUUUUUUCUGGGUUGCAGGUAGAGUGAAAAGGGGCCGAAGAUGAAGAUGGGGAGGAGACAGAUAGGGUUCUUCUUCUUAUUCUUGGGCCGAAACUGGGUUCGAAUUUUUUUUUGUUUCUGGGUUGUAGGUAGAGGGAAAAGGGGAAGAAGAUGAAGAUGGGGGAGGAGAGAUGAGUGCGCGUUGGGUUGGGGGGGGACGAACUGGGUAGGCAGAGUGAGGGAGUGGCGAGAAAGUGGGGAGAGAGGCGAGAAAGGGGGGAAAGAGAGAGAGGAGAGAGUGAGUGGUGGAGGACGGGUGGGAAGGGGUUUUGG